UACGAAGGUCCCAAGCGUUAUCCGGAUUUAUUGGGUUUAAAGGGUGCGUAGGCGGGUUAUUAAGUCAGUGGUGAAAGCCUUCAGCUUAACUGAAGAACUGCCAUUGAUACUGAUGAUCUUGAGUAUGAUUGAGGUGGGCGGAAUGUGUCAUGUAGCGGUGAAAUGCUUAGAUAUGACACAGAACACCGAUUGCGAAGGCAGCUCACUAAGCUAUAACUGACGCUGAUGCACGAAAGCGUGGGGAGCAAACAGG
rnacentral:rRNA from 1 species